CCUACGGGGGGCAGCAGUGGGGAAUAUUGCGCAAUGGGCGAAAGCCUGACGCAGCGACGCCGCGUGAGGGACGAAGGCCUUCGGGUUGUAAACCUCUUUCAGCAGGGACGAAGCGAAAGUGACGGUACCUGCAGAAGAAGCACCGGCUAACUACGUGCCAGCAGCCGCGGUAAUACGUAGGGUGCAAGCAUUGUCCGGAUUUAUUGGGCGUAAAGAGCUCGUAGGCGGCUUGUCACGUCGGGUGUGAAAACUCGGGGCUCAACCCCGAGCCUGCACUCGA
rnacentral:rRNA from 1 species